ACCAAUACACAGUAUUGAUUCCAAGAUGGAAGGUAAGGGUUUACAAAAGUCCUUUCAAAAUUGAUUUUCUUUUAUAAGAAAAAUGUUAAACACACACACACCACCUGUCCUAAUUAAUGUAACUAACAAGAUGCUUUCCCAAUAGCUUUAUAGAAUGAGGAUAGCUCCUUGAUUGAAUUAUAGAAUCAAUGAAAUAUGUGAAAUACAUGAAGUAAAGUUCUUGAAGCCAUUGGAUGAAAGUAGAGGCUACAUAUAAGGAUUAGGUGAAAGAAUCAGACACAUCUCUGGACCCAUGGAGAGAUCCUAGCAGGAAUGCAGUUAAGGUUUGGGGAGUACUUUGAGGAGCCAGAUGCUUGUGCUUCUAAGCAAAGGCAGCAUAGGGAAAGGGAGGUUGAGACCAGAUGAAAUAUUACAUCUUCUCUCCUCUCUUUACUAUGUCAUCAGAGAGUCUCAAUCAGUUAUAAACAAUGUAACCAUUCAGGAGCUAAAAGAGGACAAAUUAGAAACACCAAGGAAAAGCUGUUUCAGGGAAGAUAAUGUCCUUGGUACCAGGAGAAGUCGAAGCUAUGGACUCCAGAAGGAUCCUAACCCUCAGAGCUCGUGACAGAACUACACAUACCUCAAGUGAAUUUCAGAAGGACUCCAGGAAGGGGAAAAAAGACUAUGAAAGACCUAUGAGUUACCCUUUUGCCAUAUAUAUUCUCAAAGCUUUAACUGAAUUUCCACUAGAAUCUACAUAUGCUUGUGGGAGACUAUGUCCCAGACUUUGGCAGGGAAUGUUUGGGGUUUUUUUGUUUGUCUGUUUUUAGCCAAUUAUUAUCACUAUGUUGCCUUGAUAACUAAAAAGCUAAUUAACUCUGGCUUGCUAAUUGAUACCAACAGGUUAAUUGAUGAGGAGCACACUGAUGGGGGCUCAAGAGUAAUAGUACUGGAAAAAAACUCUAAUCCUUCAAGAUUACUCCCUAGAACCAUGAAAUGAGAAGUAAUUGACUGUCCUCUGGGGCUCCAUUCUGCCAAUAUAAAUGGAAGUUGGGAUAGCAGAUCUCAGAAGGUGGACUCCAUAUCAUCCUUGUCAAUGAGAAGUGAUGGGACUGAUGAUAGAUCCAUAAAAAGUGAAGAGGAGUUUUACAAUCCCCCCUGGAUUUGGAAGCAAAGAUAAAAAAAGGAAGAAUCUAGAAAUUGAUGCAACGUGGUGAUACAUGGAAGCUAAUAAGGAAUAGAAACAAAAGGAGAAAGUUUGUCUCCUAUGCCUGGGAUGUACUUCCUUCUCACCUCUGUCUUGGGUGUUCACGGAGGACUAGCAUCUCUGUGUGGGGGCUCACCGAGCCCUUUUCAGGGCUGAUCAUCUAUCUUUAGAGUCCAUCUUUCACUCAUCUCUCACCUUUGGCUACAAGAAGCUAUGACGUGCAUAGUGACCGCACUCCCAAGUGGGCUGACUAAACCAGGUUGAGGGUCACCAACAGGCUUCAAACCCAUCAGUAGGCUAAGGGGAUGCCUAACCCAAACGUGAGAAGACUUCCUCUGGUGGAAUGGACAGAUGAGAAAAUUUUGUUCCAACAAGCUAAAGCAGAUAUUGUGGAGUGCCUGGAUCUUGGUCAGGCACUGGAGAAGCCAAGAUGAUCCACUGCAUCUUAGUCCUUGGCUAGUCAUCUUGACUUUUUUCCUGCCACUGGACUUCCAUGAUUGAAAAAGAGAGUAAGGCUGACAAGUUGGUACCCAAGUCAAGAAAUCACCCCAUGAUGUCUUUGGUCCUCUUUGGAAAUGAAGGACAAACAACAAUGUCUCAGCAUCCCUCGCUUCCUGCAAAAGAGAACUCAACUGUAAUAUCUUACAUGAGGUAUUUCCUGAUCUCACCAGCAGUAGUUCUUCCCCUUUCUCAUGGAAAUUCCCUAGUAAUUACUUUGUAUGUAUUUUGUAUCUAAUUAGAUGUGUACAUGAUGUUCCUCCUAAUGGAAUAAAAACUCCUUGAGAGACUUUCAUAUUUGUCUUUGUAUCCCUAGUGUCUAGCACAGUCCCUGCCACCUACCUGGCAGACACAUAAGAAAUGCUUGCUGACAUCCUGAUUAGUUCUCACAUCAUUAACUUGGAAUUUGUGAUAAUUCAACCUGCUCUGAGCUAGAAUUUUCCUCCACGCUAUCAGUAAAGGAAAA